GCUCAUCUUAGACAAGCACACGCGCACAGUGAUAGAGCGAGCGAGGGGCACACCUAUCUUCGGAUCUCCCACCCCCACCUACGCGCAUACACAUCGAGGGAGCCGUUGGCCCAAGGAUGCCGGCAAGGGAGUCUAGCGUCUCUCGCGUGGUGAGAGCAGUGGCGCGCGGUGACGGCGACUGGGCAGAUGUGCCGCCGUCACUGCGCAACGUCAUCGUGAUGGCACUAACGCAGUCUUCUGGUGCGCCGCUGCGCAGUGUGCAAGGCGGCGUAGGAGAUGCAUCGUACGCGGAUGGGGCCGGGCGGGCGCCCGGGCGCGUCAACGGGGCCUCCGCGACACCGCUGCUGACGGAGGAGGCGGUGCAGAGCAGCAUUGAGACUUUCGAGGAUGCGGCCUGGGUGCGGGAAGAGGCAGUGCGCAGCUACGCAGAGUUCCACAACAACGUCGAGUCGCUGCACGCAACCAUGCGCACGCAACUUCGGCCUGUGUGGCGGACAGCGAUGCAGCUGCGCCCUGACAUCCUCGCGGAUGUGCGAGACGAGUGGCGCCUCCGCCGACGUGACAGCAUUCCAGACGGCAUCCCGAUCCCUGCCGCCGCCGCGCAGCACAUCGCGCUGCAGGAGACCAUACUGAGUGAAGUGGAGGACACGCUGCAGGUGCUGCGCAACACGUCGGUCCGCUUCGCCGCGCAUUUCUUGUCGGAUGAGGAGAAGAUCUCCAUGGGCGCAAACCCCGCGUACCUGCGCGCGCCGGACAUAGACAAGGAAGUGGUGGUGUCGCGCUCGCAGAGCACUUCCACCUCGCCACAGCGCGCGCUGCCAGCCAGUGUGAUGUCAGUUUCCUCGUCUGCAGGAGCUGUGGCGAGUGCCCACAUAAAGCCUUCCGCGUCUAGUGCUGCUACUGCUGCCGUCCACACAACACGUGAGGGACACAGUCGUCGCCACCAGGGCAGCCAUGCGCAGCACCACCACCACCACAACGACGACGAAGCGGGGCUGGUGAGCUCCAGCUCGAACCGGCACGUGCACAGUGGCAAGUCCUCCUGUGCGAGCCGGGGCGCCGGCGACGAUCCGCUGUUGGAGGAGUUGCGCAAGCAGUAUCAGCUGCGCAUUAGGGAACUGAAGGCGCAGUGUGAGGCGGGAGCAAGCCGUCGAAGCGAGCACGGUGCAUCGCGAUCAGCGGCGGCGACGCCACCGCGGCGCGGUAAUCGGGCACGCGUCGCAGCGUCGAGAUCAUCGUCUCUACCUUCGAGGGCUUCAUCGGCGUCUGCGAGUGUAUUGACCAGCUCCAGCUCGACAGUGUCGCGUCGCUGAGGAGGGACGUGCGCGGAAGGGGCUGGCAGUACUCGGCUUCACGGGCGCCUUCAUGACACAUGUCCCUUAGUCUUCUCCUCCCACGUAACGCUGCCAUUCGAGGGGAAAGACCGCUUCGGCGAUGUUGAGGGUGGGUGGGUGGGGUAGCCGGUUGAAUGCCACGAUGCGCGUGCGCCUGUCACCGUCGCUCUCCUCCGCCUCCGUCUCCUGCAUUGCCUUCCGCAUGCUCACUGGCUUCCUUCUGUAUGUAUAUUUCCUGUUGUUGGCCUUCUUAGAUGCGAUCGUGGCGCCAGCCGUCGGCUCAUCGGCACACACCGCCUACGAGCAACACCGCCACCGCCCUCAGCCGCCCUUGUAUCGACACCACCGCAGCACGUGGGAGGGGGUGGUGAUAGGGGGAGGACAAGAAGCGCGCGCGCACAC
rnacentral:misc_RNA from 1 species